AUUGAACGCUGGCGGCAGGCUUAACACAUGCAAGUCGAACGAGUGGCGGACGGGUGAGUAAUGCUUGGGAAUCUAGCUUAUGGAGGGGGAUAACUACGGGAAACUGUAGCUAAUACCGCGUACCAUAGGAUGAGCCUAAGUGGGAUUAGGUAGAUGGUGAGGUAAAGGCUCACCAAGCAGACGAGCUCUAGCUGGUCUGAGAGGAUGAUCAGCCACACUUGUACUGAGACACGGCCCAGACUCCUACGGGAGGCAGCAGUGGGGAAUAUUGCACAAUGGGCGCAAGCCUUAUGCAGCCAUGCCGCGUGUAUGAAGAAGGCCUUCGUGUUGUAAAGUACUUUCAGUCGGGAGGCGUUACCGACAGAAGAAGCACCGGCUAACUCCGUGCCAGCAGCCGCGGUAAUAC
rnacentral:rRNA from 1 species